rnacentral:rRNA from 1 species
GACGAACGCUGGCGGCGUGCUUAACACAUGCAAGUCGAACGGAAAGGCCCCCACCUUGGUGGGGGUGCUCGAGUGGCGAACGAGUGAGUAACACGUGGGUGAUCUGCCCUGUACUUCGGGAUAAGCUUGGGAAACUGGGUCUAAUACCGGAUAGGACCAUGGUUUAGUGUCUCAUGGUGGAAAAAUUAUUGUUUUGGUGCAGGAUGAGCUCGCGGCCUAUCAGCUUGUUGGUGGGGUAAUGGCCUACCAAGGCGUCGACGGGUAGCCGGCCUGAGAGGGUGGACGGCCACAUUGGGACUGAGAUACGGCCCAGACUCCUACGGGAGGCAGCAGUGGGGAAUAUUGCACAAUGGGCGCAAGCCUGAUGCAGCGACGCCGCGUGGGGGAUGACGGCCUUCGGGUUGUAAACUCCUUUCGUUAGGGACGAAGCCACACCUUUUUUGGGUGUGGUGACGGUACCUUUGUUAAGAAGCACCGGCUAACUACGUG